rnacentral:rRNA from 1 species
CCUACGGGAGGCAGCAGUGAGGAAUAUUGGUCAAUGGACGAGAGUCUGAACCAGCCAAGUAGCGUGAAGGAUGACUGCCCUAUGGGUUGUAAACUUCUUUUAUAUGGGAAUAAACUGUUCCACGUGUGGGAUUUUGUAUGUACCAUAUGAAUAAGGAUCGGCUAACUCCGUGCCAGCAGCCGCGGUAAUACGGAGGAUCCGAGCGUUAUCCGGAUUUAUUGGGUUUAAAGGGAGCGUAGGUGGAUUGUUAAGUCAGUUGUGAAAGUUUGCGGCUCAACCGUAAAAUUGCAGUUGAAACUAGCAGUCUUGAGUACAGUAGAGGUGGGCGGAAUUCGUGGUGUAGCGGUGAAAUGCUUAGAUAUCACGAAGAACUCCGAUUGCGAAGGCAGUUCACUGGACUGCAACUGACACUGAGGCUCGAAAGUGUGGGUAUCAAACAGGAUUAGAUACCCUAGUAGUC